rnacentral:rRNA from 1 species
GUAGGUGGCAAGCGUUGUCCGGAAUUAUUGGGCGUAAAGCGCGCGCAGGUGGUUCUUUAAGUCUGAUGUGAAAGCCCACGGCUCAACCGUGGAGGGUCAUUGGAAACUGGAGAACUUGAGUACAGAAGAGGAAAGCGGAAUUCCACGUGUAGCGGUGAAAUGCGUAGAGAUGUGGAGGAACACCAGCGGCGAAGGCGGCUUUCUGGUCUGUAACUGACGCUGAGGCGCGAAAGCGUGGGGAGCAAACAGGAUUAGAUACCCUGGUAGUCCACGCCGUAAACGAUGAGUGCUAAGUGUUAGGGGGUUUCCGCCCCCCUUAGUGCUGCAGCUAACGCAUUAAGCACUCCGCCUGGGAUACGGCCGCAAGGCUG